AACGCUGGCGGCGUGCUUAACACAUGCAAGUCGAACGCGAAAGGGACUUCGGUCCUGAGUAAAGUGGCGCACGGGUGAGUAACGCGUAGAUAACCUGUCUUCAUGUCUGGAAUAAUACGCCGAAAGGGGUACUAAUACCGGAUAUUCUUGCUUUUCAUAAGUUAUGCAAGCAAAGGUGGCCUCUGCAUAUGCUACUGCAUGAAGAGGGGUCUGCGUACCAUUAGCUAGUAGGUGGGGUAAUGGCCUACCUAGGCGACGAUGGUUAGCGGGUCUGAGAGGAUGAUCCGCCACACUGGCACUGGAACACGGGCCAGACUCCUACGGGAGGCAGCAGUGAGGAAUAUUGCGCAAUGGGGGAAACCCUGACGCAGCGACGCCGCGUGAGUGAGGAAGGCCCUUCGGGUCGUAAAGCUCUGUCAAGAGGAAAGAAGUGUACAAUGGCUAAUACCUGUUGCAUUUGACGGUACCUCUAAAGGAAGCACCGGCUAACUCCGUGCCAGCAGCAGC
rnacentral:rRNA from 1 species